CAAUAGCGUAUAUUAAAGUUGUUGCAGUUAAAAAGCUCGUAGUUGAACCUUGGGCCUGGCUGGCCGGUCUGCCUCACCGCAUGCACUGGUCCGGCCGGGCCUUUCCCUCUGGGGGUCCGCAUGCCCUUCACUGGGUGUGUCGGGGAACCAGGACUUUUACUGUGAAAAAAUUAGAGUGUUCAAAGCAGGCCUAUGCUCGAAUACAUUAGCAUGGAAUAAUAGAAUAGGACGUUGCGGUUCUAUUUUGUUGGUUUCUAGGACCGCCGUAAUGAUUAAUAGGGACAGUCGGGGGCGUCAGUAUUCAAUCGUCAGAGGUGAAAUUCUUGGAUCGAUUGAAGACUAACUACUGCGAAAGCAUUCGCCAAGGAUGUUUUCAUUAA
rnacentral:rRNA from 1 species